UACGGGGGGAGCAAGCGUUGUUCGGAUUUACUGGGCGUAAAGGGCGCGUAGGCGGCGUGACAAGUCACUUGUGAAAUCUCCGGGCUUAACCCGGAGCGGCCAAGUGAUACUGUCGUGCUAGAGUGCGGAAGGGGCUACUGGAAUUCUCGGUGUAGCGGUGAAAUGCGUAGAUAUCGAGAGGAACACCUGCGGCGAAGGCGGGUAGCUGGGCCGACACUGACGCUGAGGCGCGAAAGCCACGGGAGCGAACGGG
rnacentral:rRNA from 1 species